GGUUUCCUAGAGGGAAAGGGACUUGGUCAGGGACAAGGAGAUCCAGUGGGACAGUAAACCCUGGGUCCUGCCAGAGGCUGAGAAGAUGAAGUAGCCAUGGGGGCCAGAGGAAUGUCUGGUGGAAAGCCAGAGAUAGGAACGAACAUUUUAAAUUGGAUUAAGCCUCAGGACGCUCCUGAAAAGAAGGUGAUAUUUCUCCAGUUUACGGAUGAGGCACAAGGAGGGAAGACGGUGCACACAAAAGCUCAUGACUGACUGCUUCCUUCUACCGUGGCAUUACUGAAAAUAAUUCAAGAGCUGGCCAUCAUGGUUGAUGAUUCAGUAGCCUGGAAGAAAUGAUACAGACAGAGAAGUAGAGGAUCUGGAAGAAUUAAAAUCAAGCUCUAAGGACAGCCUAAGAGUGAAGAAAAGAGCUCAGAGAUAAAUUUAGGAAGCUGACAGGCCAUCAGCACAACAAUAUAAAGAGAGUGAAAAAUUACUCUUGAAAGAUCUGACCACAGCAGCCAUCAUAAAAGGCACAAAUGUGCAUGCUUUUCAAUGUCUUCUUCUGAUUUCCCCCUCCCCAGCGUUGACUCUGCAUGUCAAGCCCAUAUUGCUGCUUCAGUUUAACAACACAGAAAAGAAAACCCAGUUAAACUAAAGCCUACUCAAGUAUGCAAUAUAUUUCUCACAACUGGAGAACAGUCCUGUGUAGCAAUUUCAGCAGAGUGAAUGAGAGUCAAAGGGGGGAAAAAUUGAAAAGAGGAGGAAAUGAAGCUAAAUAAUUGGAGGAAAAAAAAGAUGUCAUGAAUUGGAAAUGAGUUUUGCUUUGAGGUGCUGACUCAGAUUGCAUAGCUUUCCAUAAAAGCUAUUGUAGGAAUAAAAACAGAGUGGAAUUUUAGUUAUG